UGGCGCCGCCCGGGCGGUCGCCCUGGCAACGAGGACGCCGAGCUCGCCUCAACGACUUCCAGCUGUAUCAGCCCGGAACGAGAGGGAGGGAGGGGCGAGCGCGUCUAACUGCGCCUGCGCGAGAGAGGUUGCUUUCUUCGUUGGUAUGGAAUAGAAUACAGAUAGAGGGACCUGCUUCCUUGAUUGACGGGCGGCUUCGCGAAGGAAUUCGCACUGCAGAAUCCGUGCAGUUUGACCCCACUUUUAACCCUCAUGGCUUAGUGCUAUGGAAAAGAGUUGAGAUUUGCUCUCUUUCAUAACAGUCUACUUCCAAGGGAUUCAAGCCUCAACUGACUUCUGAUGUCUAGCACUGGCUUCUGUACUCAAACAGGCUCACGCCUCAACAUCUUCUAACCCCUCACACUGGUGUCUGCACUCUAACAGACUCAAGCUUCAUCGUCUUCUAACUCCUCAGACUGGUUUCUGUACUCCAAGAGACUCAAGCCUCAACAUCUUCUAACUCCUCACCCUGGCAUCUGCACUCUGAACAGACUCAAGCCUCAACGUCUUCUAACUCCUCACACUGGCUUCUGUACUCAAAGAGACUCAAGCCUCAACAUCUCACGUGGGACUGGGUGAGCUGUCAAUGAAAUAAAGAAACAAUGGUUCCAUGAGUCUAAAUUAUGUCC
rnacentral:lncRNA from 11 species